rnacentral:rRNA from 1 species
UACAGAGGUCUCAAGCGUUGUUCGGAAUUACUGGGCGUAAAGCGCGCGUAGGCGGACCUGCAAGUCGGGGGUGAAAGCCCGAGGCUCAACCUCGGAACUGCCUUCGAUACUGCGGGUCUCGAGUCCGGGAGAGGUGAGUGGAACUGCGAGUGUAGAGGUGAAAUUCGUAGAUAUUCGCAAGAACACCAGUGGCGAAGGCGGCUCACUGGCCCGGUACUGACGCUGAGGUGCGAAAGCGUGGGGAGCAAACAGG